rnacentral:rRNA from 1 species
AUGUGAUCGUCUCUCGCAUAUCAAUAAGCGGAGGAAAAGAAACUAACAAGGAUUCCCCUAGUAACGGCGAGUGAAGCGGGAAGAGCUCAAAUUUGAAAUCUUAAAGGGUUUCCCUUUACGAAUUGUAGUUUAAAGAAGUGUUUUCUGUUGAGGUUUUGGUAAAAGUUCUUUGGAAUAGGACAUCAUAGAGGGUGAGAAUCCCGUAUUUGACCUUUACUUUCAACUUUGUGAUACACUUUCAAAGAGUCGGAUUGUUUGGGAAUGCAGUCCAAAAUGGGUGGUAAAUUUCAUCUAAAGCUAAAUAUUGGCGAGAGACCGAUAGCGAACAAGUACCGUGAGGGAAAGAUGAAAAGAACUUUGAAAAGAGAGUUAAACAGUACGUGAAAUUGUCAAAAGGGAAGCGUUUGACACCAGUGUUGUUUUUCUGAAAAUCAAUUAAAGAACUGUUUAUGCUAAGUUGUUUAGACUUUAUCAGCUAACUGUUUAGUUUUGAGCUUUUCUUUAAUGCACUUUUCAGUUAACAAGUCAACAUCAAUUUCUUUUGCUGUAAAAAAGCUUGAGGAAGGUGGCUUGAGAUUCGUCUUAAGUGUUUAUAGCCUCUUGCCUAUGCAGUCGGAGAGAUUGAGGUCUGCAGCGUAGAUCCUUCGGGGCUAAAUGCAUUUGUGCUAAGUUAUAGCAUUUUAUAGACAACUUGUUGACUAUGAUUUGUCUUGUAGCUUACUCGCUUAUGUUAUUUUACCUACGCUUAGGAUGUUGACUGAUAUGUAGUCGUA